rnacentral:rRNA from 1 species
GGGGAACCUUGGACAAUGGGGGAAACCCUGAUCCAGGCAUGCCGCGUGAGUGAUGAAGGCCCUAGGGUUGUAAAGCUCUUUUAGCAGGGAAGAUAAUGACGGUACCUGCAGAAAAAGCCCCGGCUAACUUCGUGCCAGCAGCCGCGGUAAUACGAAGGGGGCUAGCGUUGCUCGGAAUCACUGGGCGUAAAGCGCACGUAGGCGGAUCUUUAAGUCAGGGGUGAAAGCCUGGAGCUCAACUCCAGAACUGCCUUUGAUACUGAAGAUCUUGAGUUCGGGAGAGGUGAGUGGAACUGCGAGUGUAGAGGUGAAAUUCGUAGAUAUUCGCAAGAACACCAGUGGCGAAGGCGGCUCACUGGCCCGAUACUGACGCUGAGGUGCGAAAGCGUGGGGAGCAAAC